rnacentral:rRNA from 1 species
UACAGAGGGUGCAAGCGUUAAUCGGAGUGACUGGGCGUAAAGGGCGCGUAGGCGGUUAAUUAAGUUUGAUGUGAAAGGCCUGGGCUUAACCUAGGAAUUGCAUUGAAAACUGGUUGACUGGAGUACUGAAGAGGGUAGAGGAAUUUCCGGUGUAGCGGUGAAAUGCGUAGAGAUCGGAAGGAACACCGGUGGCGAAGGCGGCUACCUGGUCAGCUACUGACGCUGAGGCGCGAGAGCGUGGGGAUCAAACAGG